GACGAACGCUGGCGGCGUGCUUAACACAUGCAAGUCGAACGGAAAGGCCCUGCUUUUGUGGGGUGCUCGAGUGGCGAACGGGUGAGUAACACGUGAGUAACCUGCCCUUGACUUUGGGAUAACUUCAGGAAACUGGGGCUAAUACCGGAUAGGAGCUCCUGCUGCAUGGUGGGGGUUGGAAAGUUUCGGCGGUUGGGGAUGGACUCGCGGCUUAUCAGCUUGUUGGUGGGGUAGUGGCUUACCAAGGCUUUGACGGGUAGCCGGCCUGAGAGGGUGACCGGCCAAAUUGGGACUGAGAUACGGCCCAGACUCCUACGGGAGGCAGCAGUGGGGAAUUUUGCACAAGGGGCGGAAGCCUGAUGCAGCAACCCCGCGGGCGGGAUGACGGCCUUCGGGUUGUAAACCGCUUUCGCCUGUGACGAAGGGGGAGUGACGGUAAUGGGUAAAGAAGCACCGGCUAACUACGU
rnacentral:rRNA from 1 species